AACUAUAACGGUCCUAAGGUAGCGAAAUUCCUUGUCAGGUAAGUUCUGACCCGCAUGAAUGGCGUAAUGAUUUGGGCACUGUCUCAACGAUGCACCCGGUGAAAUUGUAGUACUUGUGAAGAUGCAAGUUACCCGCGACUAGACGGAAAGACCCCAUGGAGCUUUACUGUAGAUUGCUACUGGGACUCGAUAUCGUAUGUACAGAAUAGGUGGGAGACAAUGAAGUGUUGGCGUCAGUUGACAUGGAGUCACAAUGUGGAAUACCACUCUUACGAUGUUGGGUUUCUAACGAUAUCCCGUGAUCCGGGAGUCGGACAAUGGCAGUCGGGCAGUUUGACUGGGGCGGUCGCCUCCUAAAGAGUAACGGAGGCGUUCAAAGCUUACCUCAGUACGGUUGGAAAUCGUACAAAGAGCAUAAAGGUAUAAGGUAGGUUAACUGCGAGACGUACAGGUCGAGCAGAUACGAAAGUAGGACUUAGUGAUCCCGCGGUAGAAUGUGGAAUUGCCGUGGCUCAACGGAUAAAAGUUACCCUGGGGAUAACAGGCUUAUCUCCCCCAAGAGUUCACAUCGACGGGGAGGUUUGGCACCUCGAUGUCGGCUCAUCGCAUCCUGGGGCUGUAGUCGGUCCCAAGGGUUGGGCUGUUCGCCCAUUAAAGCGGUACGCGAGCUGGGUUCAGAACGUCGUGAGACAGUUCGGUCCCUAUCUGUCGUGGGCGUAGGAAAUUUGAGAGGAGCUGUCCCUAGUACGAGAGGACCGGGAUGGACGGACCAAUGGUGUACCAGUUGUAUUGCCAAAUGCAUAGCUGGGUAGCUAAGUCCGGACGGGAUAAACGCUGAAAGCAUCUAAGUGUGAAGCCUCCCUCAAGAUGAGAUUUCCCAUCCCAAGUGGAUUAAGACCCCUUGUAGACUACAAGGUAGAUAGGUCAAGAGUGGAAGUGCAGUAAUGUAUGAAGCGGAUUGAUACUAAUAGGUCGAGGACUUGACCAC
rnacentral:rRNA from 1 species